AAAGUGGCUCUUGCGAAAUGAGGUUAAUAAAGUCAAAGAAAGAAAACUACAAAAUAAAUUAAAAAAGCUGUAGGUUAUAAGUAGGUUGUAAGCCAGGGCCCCACGAAAAGAGAUUCGCCGUUCACACAGGGUUUUCCACUUUUCUAUAUUUCAGGUUUUUUUUAUUUAUAUAUUUUACAGGUAUUUUCCCGUUUCAGGUUUUUUCUAUUUUUUAGUCUAUUUUACAGGUUUCUUUUUUAUUUUUUCUUCUCUUUCAGCUAGCACCCGAGCCUAGAUUUUUAAAGCACUACAAUUUUUUCUUAAUCAUGAUGGAUUGAGAGUAGUGUUUUAAAAAUCAGGUAAAUCGCAAUGACUUAAUCGAUGUCAAUAUCGAAGUCGUGUGAGAAAUUGUUAUAGUAUGAGAACAAUUUCGUAAUUCGUGCUUUCAAAA